UUAGGUUAAAACUAAUAUAAACCCUAGUUCCUUUUGAUAUUCUUUUUCGUGAUCGAAAAUUUGAUGUGUAAGGAUCGUCGUUGUGGUUGAUUUCGUGUUUAAUGUUGCCGUAUACUUUCCUCGUUUUUUAUUUGGGGAGUUUUCUAAGUUAGGGUUUCGUGUUAUAGUUGGAGUUUUGAUUUUUUUUUCUUUGCUUAGUAAGUUGAAUUGACGGAGCCUCUUGUCGGCAAUAAGUUUCGGCUUGGUCGCAAAAUCGGUAGCGGCUCUUUUGGGGAGAUCUAUUUGGGUACACACAUUCAGAAAAAUGAAGAGGUUGUCAUCAAGCUUGUAAGCAGUCCUUGCUUAAAACUCACUUCUAUAAAUAUGUAUUUAAAUUUUGUAUAUUACCAUCGCUUUUGUUUACGUGCUUGUUUAUAACUGUUGUUUGUUGCAUUUUAAUGUUCAAU